rnacentral:rRNA from 1 species
AGCAGCCGCGGUAAUUCCAGCUCCAAUAGCGUAUGUUAAAGUUGUUGCAGUUAAAAAGCUCGUAGUUGAAUUUCGGGGUUAGUAGGUUGGUCAUGCCUCUGGUAUGUACUGGUCUCACUGAUUCCUCCUUCCUGAUGAACCUUAAUGCCAUUAAUUUGGUGUUUUGGGGAAUUUGGACUGUUACUUUGAAAAAAUUAGAGUGUUUAAAGCAAGCUAACGCUUGAAUACAUUAGCAUGGAGUAAUGAAAUAGGACGUUCGAUCCUAUUUUGUUGGUUUCUAGGAUUGACGUAAUGAUUAAUAGGGAUAGUUGGGGGCAUUAGUAUUCAAUUGUCAGAGGUGAAAUUCUUGGAUUUAUUGAAGACUAACUACUGCGAAAGCAUUUGCCAAGGAUGUUUUCAUUAAUCAAGAACGAAAGUUAGGGGAUCGAAGACGAUCAGAUACCGUCGUAGUCUUAACCAUAAACUAUCGCGACUAGGGAUCGGAUGAUGUUAAUUUUUUAAUGUACUCAUUCGGCGCCUU